rnacentral:tRNA from 1 species
GCCGGGAUAGCUCAGUCGGUAGAGCAAAGGACU